CCCGACAGGCCUGUGUGGCCGGUGGCGGGCGGGCCGUUACCUCCCGCGCAUGCUCUAUGGGGUAGAGACGCUAGGCCGGCACUGCCUAGGUGGGCCGGGCGGUGCGAGGGUCGCCUUUCAGCCUUUACCUCUACCCACUGAAAUGGAGUAGGUCGGUGAGCGCCGAUCUGCUGGAGAAUCUCAUUAUCCCAUCGGCGCUCUGCCUGCUCCUGGCCUCCAAGCCUCUGAAGCCCCUCGGGUUUCAGCUGCCGGCUACCCUCGAGCCCGUGGUGCCCACGAGAGAGGCGACUUUACGUCAGCGGCCCUGGGCUGAGAUUUGAGAACGCGACCAAGUGGAGAAUGUUGGAGCCAGAUUUUAAAAUCCUUGUCUUCCUUCUGCGUGCUACUUGAUCUAAAUGAGAUACGGCAAAGUCACAGAACCUGUUUUUAUGUUUUUGCCUGAUUCAUACGGGCUUCUCCGGUGAAGAUGGGCCUGAAGUAACGCUUGGGUUGCUUCUGACGUUAUAACUCAUCCUGUAGCUGCAGCAACCGUGGUCCUUGCAACCUCAUAAAAAUGUUGCCAGCAUUGUUUCGAUAGUGCUGCUUAAUUCUUGGAAGGUUCUUCGGACUUCACACAUUCCAGCAGUAGCUCUCUCAGCUCCUGUCCUGCACAGCUUUGAAGUGCUGGACACAGCCCUGGUGAUGGCUUUCUGAGGAUGACACGAUGGAGGCUUCUCCAAUAGCUCUAAAACUGCGGUGUGGAAAACAUUCGGCAGCCUCAAAGAGCGGUCUUGUUGACCCCAACUAUAUCAUUUUUCAUCAAAAUCAUUCUUGUAAAGAAUGACCAGGCAACACUCUUUGAAAAUUGGAGGCCAUUUGCAGCUGCUCUCUGUUGAGGAAAGUGAAUAAUAGGGUGCCCUCAAGGAAUUGCAAAGGUAUCACUCAACAGAAACUUUCGUGUCUGAAGAAAACUAGAUCAUUUUAUCAUGGUAGGCAUGCUGAUAUGUUUGCUUUAAUAAAAUGCCAUAUUUCUGCCUUUAAUCUCUUGUCAACCCGCUAUUAAAAAGCCCCAAAGUGCAUGUGUGCAGCGCAUGUAAACACUUGUGGUUUUGAGGUUACCACAGAACAUACUAAUAAAGCAUGUAAUUUGUGUUUUGUGCACAGACUGUAAUAAUUUAUUGAGUGGUACAGAGAAGCUAGAAAAGGAUUUUCUCUAACUUUUGCCAGCAAGUCAAUUUAUUUUUAGUGCUCUAUGCAGAAGUACAUGUAUACACAUGUUCUUAUGAUUACAUCAUGUUUAAAAAGCAUUAGGGAGCCUGCAUAACAAAAUGGGACAAAACAUAAAUUCAUUUUGCACAUACGGAAGACAUUCUAUCAAGCAUGCUAAUGUUCCUCCUAUAAGCUGAUCAGCUGGGAGGUGUGGCAUAUAUUCUUCCACAAAGGGUGUGUGUUUGUGUGUGUGUGUGUGUGCAUGUUUGUGUGCGUGUUGAGCACUGACAAUACAUUAGCAGAGUAUAGAUCAAGUAAGUUCAAGUAAAUUAAGACGAAUAAUAAUAGCAAGAACUUUUAUAAACUUUACCAACUUUAUCCCCAGUCCCCCUGGGGGAGGAGGGCAGAGAACAAUGUUGUUCCUUCUUUUAUAUGGAAUAACAAAACGUAUAAUGGUUGGGUCACUUCUAGAGGGUCCUAGAAGAGCUCAUUGCCAGACUACAGCUUCCACCAUGAUUGUUUGGGUAGCCAAUUUAUCUGUUUAUGUAAGAUCCUUACAGGUAAGAACCAUCAGGUUGUAUACCACUUAGCUUUUUGCUUUCACUUCUUCCCUUGUGAGGUUCCUUGCACACAACAAAUCAUCCACACAGAUGCAUAAUUUGAAAGGAAAGGUCUUGAGCUUAUGGAAGAAAUACAUACCAGUUUCUGGAAAAUUCUGUGAAAUUCUGUAGUUGGAAAAUAAUUCUGUGAAAUUCUAUGCUUUAUUUACUCAAACAAAAAACACAUUCAGUUUAGAAAUAACGUCUGUGCCCAGAAGAAAUAGGUGUUAGAUACUCAAAACGUGUUUAUUCCAAAAAGAUGCAAGAUUUCUCUCCUGGAAAGCAAUUCACCACUCUCUAUGCUUCUUUUUCUUUCUGAGAAGUCUUAUACACAUAACAGUUUUCAAUGCACAGAUGGAUCUUCUGUGGUUCACAACCUUUUACAUUUGAGGGCUAAUUAAAAUGAAUCCUUUGUGCCACCUCUAAGAUACAACUCACUCCUUCAUGUUGUUCAUUGACUAAGAUCUAAUAAACCAGUUCCAAUUCAUAACUAGGGAUUAUUGAACUUCUUGUGGCCAUUGGCUAUCAUAGAGGCAUUGUGAAAAUCUCUAAGGAGACAAGUGCACAGCAGCCUGGCCCGGAGGGUCCUCUUAUUUGAAGUAGAACUCAAGUUGCACCCAAUUAUGUAAGGCUGAUCCAACCCAGAAAAGAGUUUUCUGCAAGAGAUUAAGCCAAUUCUCCAGAACUCUAAGGAGGAAAUCAAGAUCCUUGUGGCUGUUUGAUCACUUCUGUGAUUUGAAUGUCUCCACGGUUUAAUCAUUUGCUUACAUAAUGAGGACAUUACAGAGAGAAGAGAUGAGGGUAGGGGAAGAGAAGGAAGGGAA
ensembl:lncRNA HULC hepatocellular carcinoma up-regulated long non-coding RNA